UACGUAGGGUGCGAGCGUUACUCGGAAUUACUGGGCGUAAAGCGUGCGUAGGCGGUUCGUUAAGUUCGUUGUGAAAGCCCCGGGCUCAACCUGGGAAUGGCAAUGGAAACUGGCGGGCUGGAGUAUGGCAGAGGGGGGUGGAAUUCCGCGUGUAGCAGUGAAAUGCGUAGAGAUGCGGAGGAACACCGAUGGCGAAGGCAGCCCCCUGGGCUGACACUGACGCUCAGGCACGAAAGCGUGGGGAGCAAACAGG
rnacentral:rRNA from 1 species